GGCUCCAUGGUGUCGCGAUUAGCACUCUGGACUUUGAAUCCUCUGACCUGAGUUCAAAUCUUGGCGGAACCU
rnacentral:tRNA from 1 species